rnacentral:rRNA from 1 species
AUGAACGCUGGCGGCGUGCCUAAUACAUGCAAGUCGAGCGAACAGAUGAGGAGCUUGCUCCUCUGACGUUAGCGGCGGACGGGUGAGUAACACGUGGAUAACCUACCUAUAAGACUGGGAUAACUUCGGGAAACCGGAGCUAAUACCGGAUAAUAUAUUGAACCGCAUGGUUCAAUAGUGAAAGACGGUCUUGCUGUCACUUAUAGAUGGAUCCGCGCCGCAUUAGCUAGUUGGUAAGGUAACGGCUUACCAAGGCAACGAUGCGUAGCCGACCUGAGAGGGUGAUCGGCCACACUGGAACUGAGACACGGUCCAGACUCCUACGGGAGGCAGCAGUAGGGAAUCUUCCGCAAUGGGCGAAAGCCUGACGGAGCAACGCCGCGUGAGUGAUGAAGGUCUUCGGAUCGUAAAACUCUGUUAUUAGGGAAGAACAAAUGUGUAAGUAACUAUGCACGUCUUGACGGUACCUAAUCAGGAAGCCACGGCUAACUACGUG